AGGUGGCUUUUGGGCUGUCGCAGAUGGAUGAGCCUGCGUUGGAUUAGCUAGUUGGUGGGGUAAGGGCUUACCAAGGCUACGAUCCAUAGCUGAUUUGAGAGGAUGAUCAGCCACAUUGGGACUGAGACACGGCCCAAACUCCUACGGGAGGCAGCAGUGAGGAAUAUUGGACAAUGGGGGCAACCCUGAUCCAGCAAUGCCAUGUGUGUGAAGAAGGCCUUAGGGUUGUAAAGCACUUUAGUUGGGGAAGAAAGCUUUGAGGUUAAUAGCCUUGAGGAAGGACGUUACCCAAAGAAUAAGCACCGGCUAACUCCGUGCCAGCAGCCGCGGUAAUACGGGGGGUGCAAGCGUUAAUCGGAAUUACUGGGCGUAAAGGGUCUGUAGGUGGUUUGUUAAGUCAGAUGUGAAAGCCCAGGGCUCAACCUUGGAACUGCAUUUGAUACUGGCAAACUAGAGUACGGUAGAGGAAUGGGGAAUUUCUGGUGUAGCGGUGAAAUGCGUAGAGAUCAGAAGGAACACCAAUGGCGAAGGCAACAUUCUGGACCGAUACUGACACUGAGGGACGAAAGCGUGGGGAUCAAACAGGAUUAGAUACCCUGGUAGUCCAUGCUGUAAACGAUGAGUACUAGCUGUUGGAGUCGGUGUAAAGGCUCUAGUGGCGCAGCUAACGCGAUAAGUACUCCGCCUGGGGACUACGGCCGCAAGGCUAAAACUCAAAGGAAUUGACGGGGACCCGCACAAGCGGUGGAGCAUGUGGUUUAAUUCGAUGCAACGCGAAGAACCUUACCUGGUCUUGACAUCCUGCGAGCUUUCUAGAGAUAGAUUGGUGCCUUCGGGAACGCAGUGACAGGUGCUGCACGGCUGUUGUCAGCUCGUGUUGUGAAAUGUUGGGUUAAGUCCCGCAACGAGCGCAACCCCCUAUUGAUAGUUACCAUCAUUAAGUUGGGUACUCUAUUGAGACUGCCGCUGACAGGCGGAGGAAGGUGGGGACGACGUCAAGUCAUCAUGGCCCUUACGACCAGGGC
rnacentral:rRNA from 1 species